rnacentral:pre_miRNA from 1 species
GACAGGGAAGAUUUAGGUUGGUGCAAAAGUAACUGUGGUUUUUGCCAUUGAAAGUAAUGGCAAAAACCACAGUUACUUUUGCACCAACCUAAUAAAA